rnacentral:misc_RNA from 1 species
AAGUCGUAACAAGGUUUCCGUAGGUGAACCUGCGGAAGGAUCAUUAUUGAAAUAAACCUGAUGAGUUGCUGCUGGCUCUCUAGGGAGCAUGUGCACACUUGUCAUCUUUAUAUCUCCACCUGUGCACCUUUUGUAGACCUGGUUAUCUUUCUGAGUGCUAGCACUCAGGUUUGAGGAUUGACUUUCUUUGUCUCUCUUUAUAUUUCCAGGUCUAUGUUCUUCAUAAUACCCAAUGUAUGUUAUUAGAAUGUAAUACUUGGGCCUUUGUGCCUAUAAACCUAUACAACUUUCAGCAACGGAUCUCUUGGCUCUC